GAGGGGUGCGAGCGUUAUUCGGAUUUACUGGGCGUAAAGGGUGCGUAGACGGUGUAUCAAGUCUGUUGUUAAAUCUCUCGGGCUUAACCGAGGGGCCGCAGCGGAAACUGGUACGCUAGAGGAUGGAAGAGAGAAGUGGAAUUCCCGGAGUAGCGGUAAAAUGCGUAGAUCUCGGGAGGAACACCAAUGGCGAAGGCAGCUUCUUGGUCCAUUCCUGACGUUGAGGCACGAAAGCGUGGGGAGCAAACAGGAUUAGAUACCCUGGUAGUCCACGCCGUAAACGAUAAUCACUAGACGUUGGUUCGGCUUAGCUGGAUCAGUGUCAAAGCUAACGCGUUAAGUGAUUCGCCUGGGGACUACGAUCGCAAAGAUUAA
rnacentral:rRNA from 1 species